rnacentral:lncRNA from 1 species
UAUAUAGUCAGAAAGCUAUACUUUUGGUAAGAAUUUAUAUCAUAGCGAUAACUACGCGAUUCGAAACUGUCAUGUGUGUACUGGCAGUGACCGCCGACAGUCGCGAGUACGCAUGUCCGUCCUUUGGAGGGCGGAAGUCAUUCUAACGGAGUUACUAGCAAUACAAAGUGAAGGUGAACGAAGCCUCUCCUGCUGUUGUUGCUGCUGCCUCUGCUGCUGCUGCUGCUGCUGUCAUUAGCUUUCACUUUUGGCCUCCCACUCGCUUCCAGUCCGCCGCUCAUAUAUCUCUCUCGCUCUAUCUCUAUCAAUCACUUUCUGUCUUUCUCUCUCUAUCACUCUCUCUCUCUCUCUCCCCACCCACUAACAGGACAAGUCGUUCAUUCUAUGUGUAUGUUGCGCUUCUCUAUUCCGUACUUUGUGGACGGCCUUGUGAAAGAAAACUGUCCAGCGGCACUUUGCUAGUCAGUGGAGCUAAAACAUCAACCGGACAAAACCCCCCUACGGAAUUGCUUGAUAUCCUUGUUAGUACUAAUACAAGGACCACUUUUUUUUUCCAUAAAGGUAACUCACUUUCCAUCAUUUUUCUCUCGUUUUUCUUUUCUUCUCUAAUCCUUCUCAAUUUAUUUUUAUCUCUAAUAAUGAUAAUAAUAAUAAUAAUAAUUUCUUUUAUAGUUUCUCUCUUUCUCUAAAUAUUUUCGUUUCUGUUCACUCUUGACAUUUUGAUCUGACAUUUCUAACUGUUUUCUAAAUUAUCCUGUUUGCUUUAACCUUAACCUCUUGCCACAACUUUAGAGCUGUUUAUAUCAUAACAAUCCACUAUUAACCACGUAUGGAAAUAAAUUAUUUCAAUUUCGAAUUCCGUUCGCUUGUUCGCUGUUUUCACCAUCCCUAUUUAAUGUAUCGUCUGCCAACUAUGUCACAGUCAUUGUUAUUAUUUUUAACCAUUAUUUUUCUAUUAACCGAGCCCUAUCCCUUGAAUCAGUCUAACAAGGUACCUAGUUUAGUUUCUCUUUUUGUUCAAGAUCUCGGGAUUGGGUUCCCAUUCUUUCAGUUUGCAUCGCUAAAACCAAGCUUGUUUUACUUUAACUACUACUACCACUACAAUCUCAUCAAUCAUCAUCAUCAUCAUCCCCAUCAUGAUGUUCUAUGUUUGUUAAUGUUUUUAUGUUAUUUUGACAAAUAGUACAUUGUUUUUACAAUUGAUCUUUUCUUAAUUCCGUUUAGUAAUUUUCCACCUUCACAUGUGUUACAUCUGUUUAUCCAUGUGUUUUAUUUUUCGACUGAUAAAUUGAGAAUGAGUAUAUCUUUCUCCGAGUAGAACUUAGAAUCCGUCUUAUAACCUGAUGUGGUGAUAGCUCCUCUCUUUAUCUCUCUCUCACUCCGUUUAAAUUCUGCUGUGAUGCUCAUCAGUAUGGUUGUUGUCUUUCUCAUGUCUGCAUAUAUUAAUGAAUAAAAAUAACUCCUUGGUUCAUUUAACAACGAGUUCACUCCCACCACUUCGACCCUAGGGCACUUGUAUUCGCGCCUUCAUCUAUAUCUGAUAUCUACAUAUACCUAAACCUUGUGUUCCUGAGAAACUACCAUGUUCAUGGUCUAUCUAGCAUGGUAUAGGUGAUAUAACGUGUAUAAAAUCUACACAUAUUUGCCAGAAAUAUAUUUUUAUGUCCCUUAUCAUUAUCGUUUAAAUGAACUAUUUUAUAUUAGCUUCAGAUUUAUUAUUAUUUUUAAAAAAAUGUAUUUCAUUUACUAAAUACUCCUGUUUUCUUUAACCUCUUAUUACAUUUUCGUGUUUGUAAAAUUUUGUAACGAACACUACCAAAUUAGUCAUACUCUUUUUUGGAAAUUCCACUGCAAAUGAUUUUGAUGAAUUUAAAAGAAAGGUUUCCUCUCUGCAAUAUUCAAUCAAACACAAUCAAAUGAAGCAUGUUCUUGUUUAUCCCCAAGUCAGCUCUAACCUAGCGAACUUCUAAUUAGAAGUAUUCCGACCAUGAUCAUCCUCGCUUUUUAGAUUUAUAUCUACCACUAUACUAUCCAUUGUGUCUUUUUUCCAAGAUAGUAAGAUGUGAUUUGAAGGAUAUUCGACUGCUAUUUCUAGUAGCUGUAUUGCUGGCUCGAAGUAUGUUUAUUACAGCCGGUAACUGAGCAAUAAUUUAUCUUUAUUUUUCUAACUUUUCCUUUCGAUUUCUUUAUUUCUUUGUGACAUUUUCAGUGACGAGCAUGUAUACUUUUUCGUUUUCCACUUGGUUAUAGAGAUUUCUGUGGCUAUAUAUAUAUAUAUAUAUAUAUAUAUAUAUAUGAUAUAUAAUAAAAAGUAAUAAUAAUAAUCUUGUGGAACAUCUUAUGCACCUUUAGAUUAUUUGCGUGUGUAUUUAGUAUUAUAUAGACUAUAACAUUGAAAGAUUAUAAUCAAUCUAUCUAUCUAUCCACACACGUAUAUAUGGAUGUAUAUACUUGCUCACACACAUCGUUCUUCACUGUUGUUUAAAAAAGACUGAAGAUAUCAGCUGUUACAGUCAGCGUUGUCAAGUGCGAACUCCUUCAAAGGAAUUACCGGAUCUCCAUAGUCAUACCAACUCUUCAUUUGCAAUUUAAUUAAUUUUUUUUAAUACUUCUUUUUUCUUUUCUACACAGACUGAAGUGCUAUUAUCAAAAAUAAUAAAAGAAACAGUAUUCAUAUUGUUUUUUUUUUCUUUCUAAUCAAAACUCUCUAUUGUAUACACUCGGUAAUAAUUCAACAGCAACUCUUUUGUUUUCUAUUACCACUGCUGUUGAUUCUACCACACUUAUUUGCAGAGCGAAGAAAGAAAUAAUUCAUAAAAAAAGAUUAGUUUUCGAAUAAUUGAAGUCCAAUAUGCAUGGUUUUGGUUCAACCUCGCCACAGACUAUUUCCUUACAUAUGUGUACAUUAAAGCCUAGUUUCAUUCAAUAAAAAGCAAAAUGCUAUAGUUAUUUUCCAUUGUAAUGAGAUCGGCUUUUCCAGUUAGCCUCUUUUAUCAUGAAUUUAAUUGUCCCUAUCGCGAGAGUUCUUCGCUGGUCUAUUGCUAUUAAGGUUUCGCUUGAAAGAUAAUUAUUGUAUUGAUGUUGGCUCAACUCAUUCUCGAUACACGUGGCCUCUAGUAGUGUCCUCGGUCAUCACGUCAUUAAAAAAAAAAAAAAAGUAUCUAAACACCUUUCGGUUGCUUUUGAUCUCUACUUUCGAAUUCUAGUUUUGUUGUUUUAAAAUAGGACGUGUAUGAAACAAUGCGAUUCGUAAGUUAUAUAAAAUAAUAGAAUAUUUCACAAGUAAUAUUACCGAAUUAUUUCAAAAAUUCACUUAAAAAAUUCAAUAUUGAAACAAAAACUUAAAGCAGUACACACUUCAUAUUAAUCUAGGAAAAAAAUUUAACAUUUUUAUUUUAUAAUACACACUCCCACCCCCACACAGGCUAAAUAUAUUUUAUGAAUUCAUAUUACUCCAGAGUCCCUCCACAGUCCUCUAUGCUUUUGUCCUGUUUCUCUGUCGGAUCCUCUGAACAAUGCUGAAUCACAUCUUACUCAACAAAUCCCAUCAUAGUCUCGGGUUAUUGGUUCAUCGGUCAAAUUUUCUGCCAAUAAUUUUAUUGAGAACUUCAAUGUAAUUCAUUUGUAAAUACUGUUAAGAAAGCACAAUAAGGCUUUCGACAAUAUAUAUAUUAUUAGUUAGCUCUCUGGCUUUAUAAUUAUAUCACUAUAUUUAUAUUCGUUUUAAAGGUUUUGAUUAGCUUUGUUGAACCUUCUCUUCAGCUUCUGCUGUAAGAAAAGAAAAAGUAUCUUCUACCAUAGCCUUGGACCGAAGUCUUGUGAGUGGAUUUUGUAGACGGAAACUGAAAGAAGCUUGUCGUAUAUAUAUAUAUAUAUAUAUAUAUAUAUAAUGGGAUGGCAAAGGAAUAAACGAUUAUCUUACGAACUUCAUUAGCUUACAGUUGUUUCAGUUAUAGAUGUAGUGGACUCAUAGUUGAGUGCCUGAGUAACACACUAGUUUCAUUGGAGCCUUGAAUAUGAAGUGACCUCUAAGGUGUUACUCAGGCACUGAACUUUGAGUUUAUUGCAUCGUAUAACAGAAAUAGCUGUAAGCUAAUGAAGUUCGUAAGAUAAUCACUUAUUCUUUUGUCAUUUCAUUUCUUGUUAAUGCUCUGUACUUAACUAAUGCUUUGUUUUGAAGCAUAUGUGUAUUGAGUUCUACACCAGAUUAUCAGUCUUACUAUGCCUAAGCAAUAUAUGUUUGUGUGUGUGUGUGUGUAUAUAUAUGUUUAUGCUCUUUGAUUCCAAUUCAAUUUUUAGCACACAACCAAUCAUUCCUUGACUACUCUUCUGUAACACAAUUUUUUUUCAUCAUUCCUUUUUGUUACAAAUAGUUUGGCUGAAAAAGAAAAUCAGCAAGCUUAUCCUCUAUGACUCCAGAAUAUAAAUAUUUAUUGCUAAGUACCUAAAGUGAUCUUCUGAGUAAAUGAGAUGUCAGAUUACAGAUAUACUGAAACUGUUUUGUUGUUUAUGGCAUUUAUUUGAUGUUCACCUAAUAAUAAAAAAUCAUCUAGGAAUUAUGUCUAUGAUAGAUUGGCAUCUUAUCCAGCAGAAAUUUAAUUAUCAUCUUUAACUAUGAAAAGAAAAGGCACUUGUAGAAUUUAAGAAACAAAAGUGUAAGAUUUCCCUCUCUUUAGCAAUAACCUAUUUUGAUUAUGUGGAAUCACCAGCAUAUCUCAAAAUUCAACACCUGAAAUGACUCUCAAGUAUCUUUUGUUAAUCACCUGCUAAACCUAUUGAAUAAUUUUUUGUUUCUACUAUAACCAACAUAUAUUUCUUUACAUGACUGAAGAUAAUGCAAAAUCAUCACUCCCUCUACACAUGGUUCUGGGUUCAGACCCACUGCAUGACACCCAGUCUUCUACUAUAGUCUCAAACCAACUGAAGCCUUGUAAGUGAAUUUUGGUGGAUGGAAACUGAAAGAGACCCAUCAUAUAUAUAUAUAUAUAUAUAUGUGUGUAUUUGUGUUUGUCCCCCCCACUGCUUGACAACUGGUGUUGGUUUGUUUACAUCCUCUGUAAUGUGGUCUGUUGAAAGAGACCGAUAGAAUAAGGACCAGGCUUUUUCUCACACUAGCCACAUGCCCAGUCCUUCUUCCCUAGAAAAUUGGUUGUCUGGAAUUCCCUUCCUACCCAUGUUUUUCCUGUGACCAUUGACUUGUAAGUCUUCAGAAGAAACUUGCAUAUUUCACAGGUUUUCACUGAGGUCAUUAGAACAGCCCCCCGCCAGAUUAAACCAAUACAUAACUAAAAAUAUGGAGGCAAUCAACAUAUUGUAAAUAACAGAUAAUUCAGUUCUGAAAUAGCUGGUAGUGUUUGACAAUGACCACAUAAAAUUUCUUCAAGGUUACUGCUAACAUAUCUGAGAAGGUGCAUAAACCAUAGUUCUUUUAUCACUUUUCUGAAUUUACUAAUUGCAUAUUGCCUCUUAAAUUUAUUUAAUGCUCUUGCAAUACUCCUCUGAGAGGUACUUUUUAGACACCAUUCUAAAACAUUGCUCAAUCCCUUCUCUUCCAAAAUUACAUGCUUUUACAAUUCUUUUAUUGUAGUUGUUCUCUAUAUGCAGAAUCACCAACAUAAAAUUCCUCAAAUGCAAAGAGCUUUUAAAAAUGCCCUUCCUCCUUUUUUGGAUUUACAAAAAUAUUUUUAAAAAUUAAAGAAAGGAAUAAAUUACUUCCACUAGUGAUCUUUGUUUAUAUAUAUGAGUUUCAAAUUUUGGCACAGGGCCAGCUAUUUCGGGGGAUGGGCUAAGUUGAUUACAUCAAUCCCAUUAAUCAACUGGUACUUAUUUUAUCAAUCUUGAAAAGAUGAAAGACAAAGUUGACCUCUGCAGAAUUUGAACUCAGAACGUAAACAUGGACGAAAUGCCGCCAAGCAUUUUCCACAGCAUGCUAACGGUUCUGCCAGCUCUCCGCCUUUUUAUUUAUAUCAAACACUGUAUCAAAUUAUUAAAUUUUCCAUGACUAUUUGUCUGCUGUUAUGGUUUUAGUAAUUUGCCAAUUUAUAUAAUGAGAAUGUAUCUCUCUCUUUGUUGCUCUUUUCAUGAACUGAUUGUUUUAUGUAGUUAUGUGUUAUUAUAUAUUUAUGAGGAAUGUGUUCUCUGCUGAGUGAUUUAUAUGCUUUCAGAAAUUUUAUUUUUUGAAUUUCUUAUACAGGAAAAUGUCAAUCUUUAGAGAUGUUCAUUGUUGUUUUAUUUACUUGCCCAGAUCUUUAUUGUAUUGCAAAUACAAAUACAGACAUGAGUCACUUAUCUUUAUAGAAGUAGUUGGCUAUUUAUUGUUUGUGUUUGUCUGGCCGCAUGUCAGUUUUGAUUUGGCACAAGAUUUGACAUAAGGCAUUCCAGUCAUACCUCUCAAGUUUUUUUAGGAUCACAUUAUCAUCCAAUGUAUGGUUCCUUCCUUUUAAUCCUUCCGUUACCAUAUCCAUGUUGAAAUACACUGCUUUAGUUUCAAUUAAUUUUUAAAAUAAAGAAGAAUGUAGUAAAAUAAUUUUGUCAUUAUUAAGCUAGUGUUUGGAACUUUAGUUAACAUGGAAUAUUGAUGGAAAGUUUUAAUUUAGUUCACUUGAAAACAGGGAGAUUAUAUCAUAGAACCAGGGGUGGUUUCAGGCUGGUUAGGGAGAUUUGACUGUAUUCUGAGCAUGUUGAGCAACCAUGUAGAUGUUCUUUCAUUGCCUUGUGAUUAGACUGAAGUUGUGCUGUAGUGAUUUCUGUUUGCAAUUUAAGUUUGCAAACCAGUUCAGUUCACAAUUUGUAACCACUUUAUUAUUGCUUUCAGAAACAGGAUAAGCCAACAUUUCUUUUUUCCUGUAAUUCUGAAGCAUGAACUCUAGAUAACAUAUCAUUUAUUUCUCUAGUAUUUUGACCUUUUUUUGUUGUUGGAGACUAUGGUGCCUACUUUAUCCAGGAGUGCAAGGCCCUUAUACAUCCUUGUAUUCACAGCAAAUGACAUAGAAGAAUCAGAGAUGCCAGAUGAGAUGUUAAAUAAAUGAUCUACUGCACUAUCAGUGCCAAUAAGCUGAAAGCUGGGAAGUUCUCUCUCAAGUAAUGAUUUCAACUGUUGAAUCAACUAACUCUAUGACAAAUGUAAGUUGAAACAUACUGGCAGCAAUUUUCUGUAAACAUAAAAAAAUACAAGCUACUUGUUUAAUUAUUUUAGAUUGUUAGCAUAUUGGAUUCUUAUCAGAAGUUACAUUUUCUAUUGCAUAUAUUUUGUUUUAUAUAACACACAGAGAAUAGCAUUUUUUUGUCUUUGGUUUUGACUUUUUAAGCAUUAGCUACUAAAAUGUGUGACAAAUUAGGAUUCUGUAUAGCUUAAUGUGGAUUGCUAUUGAUAGAAAAUUUAAGAAAUCUUUUUUUUUAUUCUGGUUUUGUGUUAAGAUAAUAAUAAGUUGCUUUUUCUAAUUCCGAAUAAGAAUAAUGAUAUCGUAUAUAUUUGUAUGUGUAUGUAUGUAUAUAUAUAUAUAUAUAUAUAUAUAUAUAUAUAUGUGCUAAAUAAAAUAAGAUAGCAAGGCCAAGGCAUUGUGAUAUUUCUAGGAUAUUUAUAAUGAGAAAGGUGGUCUUACAGCUGUUUCAGGGAAAUAAAUAAUAUUCCAUCAACAGAGAUGAGUUAAGAGAGUAAGGCACCUUGGACAAUUGUCUUCUACUAUAGUCCCAUGUUGGCCAAAGCCUUUUAAGUGGAUUUUGUAUGGAAGCUGAAAGCAGCCUGUUGUGUGGGUGUGUAUGCCAUAAGGUCUGCAAAUCUAACGAAGACCUCAAAAGACAUUUUAAGAUCCACAAAGAUCGGAACUUAACUGCAGCUCAAGGUGGUCCAAAUCAUAUAUGCAAUCUACUUGGGUGUCUUUUCAGUAUAUUGUCUGGUAUAAAAAAACCACAUAAGAUGCCAUGAUGGAGCUAAGGUGUAAGUACAAGAGGUGGUCAGACUCUGCAUAGGGAGUAGACAACCACCAAUAUAUGUAUGGAUAUAUAUUGUGUGUGCAUGUGUAUCUUUGUGUUUAUUUCCGACCACUAUUUGACAACUGGUAUUGGUUUGUUUACAUCCCUGCAGCACAGGUGCGUUAACACAGCAUUGGCACCGGUGCUUUUUAAGGUUACACGCACAUAUAAUUUAGCUGUUUCUCUGUAGAUAGAAAAGCAUGAACAAUCUUAAUUGAUUUUCAGAUAUUAUUAGACCCUCAUCAGAAGAAUUUACACCAAUUUGACCAAUCUCAGACAAACAAGCUGCUAAUCUGUUUAUAUACUCACCAGUUGCAGCAGCUACUGAAAACAGGAGUUACUAAUUUGCAUACCAUUUAACACAUUAUUUAAUAUAAGGGGUUUGUCAAUGGGGAUCUCUGUCCACACAGCAUUGAGAUAUAUAUGUUACUUAUCUAGUAGAUAUAUAAACAGGGCUAUUUUAGUUACUUCUCCAUAGAUUGUAAAAUAAUGAAAAUAUUGAUUUUCAAAUCUUAGUUGAUUCUCAUCAGAGGUGUCUACAUUUGACCAAUAUAUCUGUACACAUAUGUAUGUGUAUAAGUAUGAAUAUACAUGUGUGUGUGUGUGUGUGUGUGUAGAUAUGUGUGUAUGUAUGUAUGUAUAGGAAUAUAGAUAUUUAUAUGUAUGUGUGUGUGUGUGUGUGUAUAUAUAUAUACAUAUACACACAAAAAUAUAUAUCUCUAUUUUUACACACACACAUAGAUACGUGUGUAUAGGAAUAUAGAUAUUUAUUUAUAUAUGUGUGUAUAUAUCAUCAUCAUCAUCAUUGUUAAACGUCUGCUUUCCAUGCUGGCAUGGGUUGGAUGGUUUGACUGAGGACUGGUGAGCCAGAUGGCUGCACCAAGCUCCAAUCUGAUCUGGCAGAGUUUCUACAGCUGGAUGCCAUUCCUAACACCAACCACUCUGAGAGUGUAGUGGGUGCUUUUGCAUACUACUGGCACGAGGGCUAGUCAGAUUGUGCUGGCAUUGGCCACGCUCAAAUGGUAUUUUUUUACAUGCCACCUGCACAGGAGCCAGUCCAGCGGCACUGGCAAUGACCUCGCUCAAAUGUUGUCUUUCAUGUGUCUCCGACACAAAUGCCAGUAAGGCAACACUGGUAACGAUUACGCUUGAAUGGUGCUUUUUACGUGCCACCGUCAUGGGAGCCAGUCAGUGGCCUUGGUAACGAUCACGCUCGGAUGGUGCUCUUAGUGCUCCACUAGCACGGAUGCCAAUCAAGCAGUGGUGUCAUCGAGUUUGAUUUUGAUUUCACUUGCCUCAACAGGUCUUCGCAAGCAGAGUUUAGUGUCCAAUGAAGGAAAGGUAUGCAUAAGUGGGCUGGUUACACCCCUGGCAUAGGCCAUGGGUUAUGGUCUCACUUAGCUUGCUGGGUCUUCUCAAGCACAGCAUAUUUCCAAAGGUUUUGGUCACUAGUCAUUGCCUCGGUGAGGCCUAAUGUUCGAAGGUUGUGCUUCACCACCUCAUCCCAGGUCUUCCUGGGUCUAUCUCUUCCAGAGGUUCCCUCAACUGCUAAGGUGUAACACUUUUUCACACUGCUAUCCUCAUCCAUUCUCACCACAUGCCUAUACCAGCGCAAUCGUCUCUCUUGCACACCACAUCUGAUGCUUCAUAGGUCCAACUUUUCUCUCAAGGCACUUACACUCUAUCGAGUAUGCACACUCACAUUACACUUCCAGCAGAGCAUAUUGGCUUCAUUCCUUGCAAGCUUAUGCAUGUCCUCAGCAGUUACAGCCCAUGUUUCACUGCCAUGUAGCAUGGCUGUUCAUACACAUGCGUCAUACAGUCUACCUUUUACUCUGAGCGAGAGGCCCUUUGUCACCAGCAGAGGUAAGAGCUCUCUGAACUUUGCCCAGGCUAUUCUUAUUCUAGCAGCUACACUUUCAGAGCACCCCCAACCCCCCGCUACUGACUUGGUCACCUAGGUAAUGGAAGCUAUCAACUACUUCUAGUUUUUCUCCCUGGAAUGUGGCAGAAGUUGUUCACUGCGCAU